GGGGGUUUAGCUCAGCUGGGAGAGCACCUGCUUUGCACGCAGGGGGUCAAGAGUUCGAAUCUCUUAAUCUCCA
rnacentral:tRNA from 1 species